AAUUGUUUUUGAAAGUCAUUCACACAAUCAUGUAAAAGUUAUUGCAAUAAGUUAAUAUUUGGUUUCGUUUAAGGUCCUUAUGAACACAUCCUAACAAGAUCCUAUAUACCUGUUAACACAUGGACACCCCAGACAUCAACCAGUGGCUCAUGCUUUGAGGCUUGGAGCAUUUAUGCAUGAAAUUUCACGAUCAUUCAAAGUGCAUUGCAUAUCAGAAGGGCGUCAUGUGAUUAGUAUGUUUAGUCUGCAUGAAUUUACCACAAUUUAUUAUUCUUUCAUUUAUUUUGUUGCUCCCAAAAUUGUGGAGAUGUGUAUAUAGAAUAUAUAUAUAUAUAUAUAUAUAGAUUUGAUGUUAUGUUAAUACAUAACAGAUUUGUAUGUUUUUUUGUGUGAAAUGUUUUUUGUAUAUCCGCAAUUAAUAAAUAUUGUUCAGUUUAUAA